rnacentral:lncRNA from 1 species
AGGAGAAUGGAGAGUUGUUUAGAAUGAGUUUUAUGUUACAAAUGGAGUACUUAGCUUGUUGGUUUUUUAGAAUGAGGAGAAUGGAGGAGAAUGGAGAGUUUUGAAAGGAGUUUUAUAUUACAGAUGGAGUACUUGUUGAUUUUUUAGAAUUAGAAGAAUGGAGAGUAAUUUAGAAUGAAGAGAAUGGAGAGUAUUUUAGAACGAGGAGAAUGGAGAGUUUUAUUGCAGCAUUUCCAGUGUGCUAACGGUAUACAAUGGAAGGCAAAAAAUAUUGAUUUUAGGAUUCUUUGUGUAAUUUUCAUGUCACUUUAAUUUAACAAUAAUUCUAUUUCUUUGAUAAAUAAUUUAUUUAUCUUAUGUUUAUUGCAAGGAUUAAAUAUUAUAAACAUAUUUACUCUAUUUUUCCCUACCUAAUAUUGAUCAAGUUCUUUAUCUAAUAUGAAGUCCUUUGUUCAUUUUUCACGUAAUACAAUGCCGAUGGAUAGGCAAUGGAUGUACCACCUCCGCUCCUCCAAUACCAGAUAAUAGUAUCCGCACAUGGCAUGAAUGUGCU